rnacentral:lncRNA from 1 species
UUUGACAGCCGCUUCCCCAACCAGAACCAGACCAGGAACUGCUGGCAGAACUACGUGGACUUCCACCGCUGCCAGAAGGCAAUGACCGCAAAAGGGGGCGAUAUCUCUGUAUGUGAGUGGUACCGGCGUGUGUACAAGUCCCUCUGCCCCAUUUCCUGGGUCUCAACUUGGGAUGACCGCCGGGCAGAAGGCACAUUUCCCGGGAAGAUCUGAACUGGUUCCACCCUGCCUCUCCUGUCUUCCGUCCUUCUCCCAUGGUGGUAAAGGGGGACCUGGGUGCUUGGUUCUUCCUACCCUGGGACCCUGAAUCAUGAC